UGGGGUGUAGCUCAGUGGUAGAGUAGCUGUCUAGCAUGCAUAAGGCCCUGGGUUCCAUCCUCAGUACUUCAA
rnacentral:tRNA from 1 species